rnacentral:rRNA from 1 species
UGGUGCAUGGUUGUCGUCAGCUCGUGUCGUGAGAUGUUGGGUUAAGUCCCGCAACGAGCGCAACCCUUAUUGUUAGUUGCUACGCAAGAGCACUCUAGCGAGACUGCCGUUGACAAAACGGAGGAAGGUGGGGACGACGUCAAAUCAUCAUGCCCCUUAUGUCCUGGGCCACACACGUACUACAAUGGUGGUAAACAGAGGGAAGCAAGACCGCGAGGUGGAGCAAAUCCCUAAAAGCCAUCCCAGUUCGGAUCGCAGGCUGCAACCCGCCUGCGUGAAGUUGGAAUCGCUAGUAAUCGCGGAUCGGCAUGCCGCGGUGAAUACGUUCCCGGGCCUUGUACACACCGCCCGUCACACCGUGAGAGUCGGGAACACCCGAAGUCCGUAGCCUAACCGCAAGGGGGGCGCGGCCGAAGGUGGGUUCGAUAAUUGGGGUGAAGUCGUAACAAGGUAGCCGUAUCGGAAGGUGCGGUUGGAUCACCUC